GAUGAACGCUAGCGGCAGGCCUAACACAUGCAAGUCGAGGGGUAGCAGGAUUAAGCUUGCUUAAUUGCUGACGACCGGCGCACGGGUGCGUAACGCGUAUGCAACCUACCUUAUACUGGGGUAUAGCCCGGAGAAAUUCGGAUUAAUCCCCCAUAGUACUAAUGAAUCGCAUGGUUUAUUGGUUAAAGCAUUGCGGUAUAAGAUGGGCAUGCGUCCUAUUAGCUAGAUGGUGAGGUAACGGCUCACCAUGGCUACGAUAGGUAGGGGGCCUGAGAGGGUGGUCCCCCACACUGGUACUGAGACACGGACCAGACUCCUACGGGAGGCAGCAGUGAGGAAUAUUGGUCAAUGGGCGCAAGCCUGAACCAGCCAUGCCGCGUGCAGGAAGAAUGCCCUAUGGGUUGUAAACUGCUUUUAUUUGGGAAUAAACCUCUUUACGUGUAGAGAGCUGAAGGUACCAGAUGAAUAAGCACCGGCUAACUCCGUGCCAGCAGCCGCCGUAA
rnacentral:rRNA from 1 species